rnacentral:lncRNA from 1 species
UUCAGCUCAAAACAUUGUCUUUGAUUAGACUUAGCACCUUCCCUUUUGCCCUUUUACAUUAUUUUGGCAGGCUGUGCAGGUGUAAAAGCUCCAUCUCCACUGCAGCUCCAUCAUGUGUGAAGCAGCCUUGUUGUGUGUUCUUCCAUGGCUGCCUCAGAGCUGUGAGAGAAAACUUCAGAGUUCCAGUCCCAGCUUUGGAUCUGCCCAUCCUGCCUUCUAAAUGAAUGACAGCCCUUUGUACGUGGUACUCAGGGACAAAUUACUACUGGAAGGAUGCAUUCAUGAAAAGGAGUAAAAGGAUUAUCCUGAUUUCAGGCACAAAGUCCUUUCCAGAAACAAUACUAAACAUGUGAGUAAUUUUAUAUUUUUUAAUGAAGUGAAAUAUUAGCAGAAAUAAUUUCUCUGUUCUCUGAGUUGUACAUUAAUUGAGUGAUGCCUUAUCCGACCAAACAGGAGCUUUGAAGGCUCUAUUUUUAUUAGGAAGAAUAAUAGGAUUUCGAUACUGGAGCAGAAUAGCAGCAAAAGAUCUCACAUAAGCAAGUCACAUCUAGACAUUGUGUCAUGAGGAAUUUAUUUUCUUCAUCUUGAUCAAGUAACGCAACAUCAUCUCAUUUAUAUGCACCUCUUAAAAAAC